CAAUGCCGCGUGCAGGAUGAAGGCCUUCGGGUUGUAAACUGCUUUUGUACGGAACGAAACGGUUCUCCUUAAUACGGAGGGCUAAUGACGGUACCGUAAGAAUAAGCACCGGCUAACUACGUGCCAGCAGCCGCGGUAAUACGUAGGGUGCGAGCGUUAAUCGGAAUUACUGGGCGUAAAGCGUGCGCAGGCGGUUAUAUAAGACAGAUGUGAAAUCCCCGGGCUCAACCUGGGACCUGCAUUUGUGACUGUAUAGCUAGAGUACGGUAGAGGGGGAUGGAAUUCCGCGUGUAGCAGUGAAAUGCGUAGAUAUGCGGAGGAACACCGAUGGCGAAGGCAAUCCCCUGGACCUGUACUGACGCUCAUGCACGAAAGCGUGGGGAGCAAACAGGAUUAGAUACCCUGGUAGUCCACGCCCUAAACGAUGUCAACUGGUUGUUGGGUCUUCACUGACUCAGUAACGAAGCUA
rnacentral:rRNA from 1 species